UACAGAGGGGGCAAGCGUUGUUCGGAAUUACUGGGCGUAAAGCGUGCGCAGGCGGCUUUGCAAGACAGGUGUGAAAUCCCCGGGCUCAACCUGGGAACUGCAUUUGUGACUGCAAGGCUAGAGUACGGUAGAGGGGGAUGGAAUUCCGCGUGUAGCAGUGAAAUGCGUAGAUAUGCGGAGGAACACCGAUGGCGAAGGCAAUCCCCUGGACCUGUACUGACGCUCAUGCACGAAAGCGUGGGGAGCAAACAGG
rnacentral:rRNA from 1 species